rnacentral:rRNA from 1 species
AUGUGGAAGAAGACAAAAGCUUACUGUUCCCAAGUGAUGCAUAUACGCACUCCAUCUCCAUGUAAGAAACCACGGCGCAUGGCACACAGAAUUCUCAUGCUUUUCGUGUCCGCCGAAUCUUCCUCUUCUUUUACAUGUCACAUACAUACGUGUGCCUUAGCCACUGACAAACAUAUCCAUGGCUAUGGUCCGUUUAUCACUCUUCCAAAAGAAGAACCAUACUUCUCCGCAAAAAAAGAAGAAGCUAUACUUGCAAAACUAAAAAUAAACCACACCUCAGGUUUCCCGUGGAGUGGCGGAGUUGGGGAGGGGCAAUGA